rnacentral:tRNA from 1 species
GGAUGUAGCUUAGCUGGUAGAGCGCCUGGUUGUGGCCCAGGAGGUCGUGGGUUCGAGUCCCACCUUU